GGGUGUAUAGCUCAGUUGGUAGAGCAUUGGGCUUUUAACCGAAUGGUUGCAGGUUCAAGUCUUGUUAUACCCA
rnacentral:tRNA from 1 species